rnacentral:rRNA from 1 species
UCAUUAAAGAGUUCUAUAACUCCCAAACCCAUGUGAACAUACCUAACGUUGCCUCGGCAGGUCGCACCUACCUUGUAGCACCCUACCCUGUAGGGCCUACCCGGGAGGUGCGGGUAAGCCUGCCGGCGGCCCACCAAACUCUGUUUGAUAUUGAAUUCUGAACCUAUAACUAAAUAAGUUAAAACUUUCAACAACGGAUCUCUUGGUUCUGGCAUCGAUGAAGAACGCAGCGAAAUGCGAUAAGUAAUGUGAAUUGCAGAAUUCAGUGAAUCAUCGAAUCUUUGAACGCAUAUUGCGCCCAUUAGUAUUCUAGUGGGCAGGACCGUUCGAGCGUCAUUUCAACCCUUAAGCCUUCGUUGCUUAGUGUUGGGAGCCUACGGCAACGUAGCUCCUCAAAGUUAGUGGCGGAGUUGGUUCACACUCUAGACGUAGUAAUUUUUUAUCUCGCCUAUUAGUUGGACUAAUCCCCUGCCGUAAAACCCCUAAUUUAUCAAGGUUGACCUCGAAUCGGUUCAGACAAACUCGCUAAAUUGAAGCAUCUUAGUCAGCGAAGGAAAAGAAACCAACAGGGAUUGCCCUAGUAACGGCGAGUGAAGCGGCAACAGCUCAAAUUUGAAAUCUGGCCCUCGGGUCCGAGUUGUAAUUUGU